rnacentral:rRNA from 1 species
CACGUAGUUAGCCGGUGCUUUUUCUGCAGGUACCGUCACUUUCGCUUCUUCCCUGCUAAAAGAGGUUUACGACCCGAAGGCCUUCGUCCCUCACGCGGCGUUGCUGCAUCAGGCUUUCGCCCAUUGUGCAAUAUUCCCCACUGCUGCCUCCCGUAGGAGUCUGGGCCGUGUCUCAGUCCCAGUGUGGCCAGUCACCCUCUCAGGCCGGCUACCCGUCGUAGGCUUGGUGAGCCGUUACCUCACCAACUACCUGAUAGGCCGCGAGCUCAUCCCUGACCGAAGUUCUUUCCAGCUGCUGAAGAUGCCUUCUCAGCUCGUAUCCGGUAUUAGACGUCGUUUCCAACGCUUAUCCCAGAGUCAGGGGCAGAUUGCUCACGUGUUACUCACCCGUUCGCCACUAAUCCAGAGGAGCAAGCUCCUCCUUCAUCGUUCGACUUGCAUGUGUUAAGCACGCCGCCAGCGUUCAUCCUGAGCCAGGAUCAAACUCU